rnacentral:misc_RNA from 1 species
UACGGAGGGUGCAAGCGUUGUUCGGAAUUACUGGGCGUAAAGCGCGCGUAGGCGGUCUGUUAAGUCAGAUGUGAAAGUCCAUGGCUCAACCAUGGAAGUGCAUAUGAUACUGGCAGGCUUGAGUACUGGAGGGGGUAGUGGAAUUCCCGGUGUAGAGGUGAAAUUCGUAGAUAUCGGGAGGAAUACCGGUGGCGAAGGCGACUACCUGGCCAGAUACUGACGCUGAUGUGCGAAAGCAUGGGGAGCAAACAGG